rnacentral:rRNA from 1 species
AUGGGUAAUCCUGCUGAGGCUCCCAAGCCCUAUCAAUGGAUAUGGAAAUCAUGUACCCUUCCUAAGCAGAAAUUCUUUUUCUGGCUUCUGUUACAGGACAUAUUGAAUACUAGGGACCUACUAAGCAGGAAAAAUUUCUACAUUGAGACAAGUAAAUGUGUGUUAUGUGAUGAUGAGCCUAAUGAACAUCUAAUGCACCUUUUCUUUAGCUGUGAUUUCAGUCAAUUUUUUUGGAUGAACAUUGGCUAUCAAUGGGAUACUGAUCAUAACCUCACAAAAAUGCUCCUGGGGGGCAAAAGGCAGAAUACCUCUGGUUGCUUCAAAGAAUGCCUGAUUGCUGGAUGCUGGAGUUUAUGGAAGCACAGGAAUAGCAUCAUAUUUGACCACAAGACCAAGAAUAUGGCAUACUGCUUGGCCACUUUCAAGGAACAUUUCUCCAUGAUCAUAAAGAAGGCUAAACCUGGAUUAAAGGAGGGCAUGCAAAGUUGGCUAGACUACUUGUAG